GUGCUCACUUUGGCAGCACAUGUACUAAAAUUGGAACAGUAUAGAGAAAAUUAGCAUGGCCCCUGCCAAGGGGAAACCCAAGUUUGUGAAACCAAAAACCAAACU
ensembl:snRNA U6 U6 spliceosomal RNA